rnacentral:ncRNA from 1 species
GGGGGCGGUUCGCCGCCCCCGACGUCGCGAGAAGUCCAUUGAACCUUAUCAUUUAGAGGAAGGAGAAGUCGUAAGUGGGUUUCCGUAGGUGAACCUGCGGAAGGAUCAUUG